UUGUUUCUAAUUAGGUGAUUUCAGCCCUAAGUUUGACUAUUUCCUGUUGUCUACUACUCUCGGGAGCUGUUACUUGAAAGCUACAUUAUAAUUGGAUACAUGAAGGCGACUAUAAUCUGCAUUAAAGAAAAAAGACCAAAGGUUCCUUGAGAAAAAUAGCGAAAGAAGCUUUACAAUGCCGGAACUGAAAUUGUUCAACAAAGGAAUCUCCAUCCUAGAACAAAGGACGAUUCCAAUAUCCUGAAUGAACCCUACUUUCCUCAAGCAUAUAGAAAACAUUUAUGUUGGCCAAACUGGUGAGACCUCCACUAAGAGUUCAUCAGUAGCCAAUAACACAAUUCAUGCUGUAUAAUUACUAGGAAUGCAUUCAUCCCUAGUAAAAACAUAGAGGACAGGUAGGAGAUCAGUUGUAGUGCUGGAGUAGUGGAACAAAAAUAUUCCUAAAGAAAUGAAAAUCAGGUCAGAUCAAAUGGCUAUAUACUAGAAGGACUGUAGUUCUGUAGAGACCACAGAUCCAAAAUGGAAGACUACUAGAAUUAUAACUUGAAAUAUCUUAUCAGAUUAGUCUAGCGACAUUUAACUUUUUUAGUAUAUGCCAAUUGUAUAUAAAAAUGUGUUUCUUUAUGUUUUCAUAUACAUGUACAAUGUUUCUUCACGAUAUUUGUUAUCCUCUCUUGUCCUUUACCCACUCUUGAAGAUUUUUCCUUCUUUUCACUUCCCCACUUUCUCAAAAAUCUUACUUUCACAUCUUUGUGGUGUGUGUGUGUGUGUGUGUGUGUGUGUGUGUCCCAGUAAGUUUCAUUAGGACCGUUUGCAGAAUCAUGAGUGAGGACUUGUUUAUCAAAGCAUGGUACCUUACCAGUGGCUACAACCACAAUAUAAAAUUGCUAUCCUUCCCCCAUCAAUCACUAUGGGUAUAUAAAUCUUCAUAGAGGAGUGUACCUCCGGGUGGCCCUCCAUCUUCCAUGAGAAGAUGAUGACAGGGCCAAUCUUGUACAAGUAUUGUGCAGGUGAUUUCAGCUGAAAUGAGUUUAGGAGUACAGCAGUCAUAUUAUGCCCAGAACUCAGACUCAGGUUUCCAGUCCUCUCCUUUCUCUAGCUUUUACAUUUACUCUACCAUGCUUUACAGGGUGUUCCUUGGAACUUGAAUGGGGUCAUUUAGAUGUCCCAUUUCUGUUUGAGCAUUGGUUACUUACUCUCAGCACUUUGAUCAGUUACAGGUGCCCACAAUUACAGAAUCAUGAGUAAUUCUGUAAUUACUGGUCAGCUUCUCUCACUCAAGUGGACAGCAGCACUAAUCUAUGAGCACAAAUGUAGGUGUUUCAAAGGAAAUUUAUGGGCAUACCAUGUUAAUUUAGCAAAACAUCAAAAGGAGGUUGCCUUCUAGGUCUGAUGACUUCAUCAGUCACUGAGUUUUGACCAGGUUUACAGUAGCAGAUGUAAGUUCUUUCCUGAGUAAGGGGAAGUAAGUUACAUUUGUUUAUUGGAUUUUCCUUUUAGGGUCUACAUUUAAACAAAUAUUUUUGAAAAUAAAUUCAUACUUAAAAAUAAAAGAAAAUAAAAAGCGUACAAAGAACUGUUGUAUACUCCUUAUUCUGAUGUGUCUGUUGGCAUUUUUUUUUGUUCUCCGUCACAUACAGGCACAGAAACAGACACUAUUUAGACAAAUUAGUGGUAAGUUAUAUAAACUAUAGUCCUAAGAAUAUGACACAAUGCUUUUACAAUAAUAUAUCUCUGACAUUCAGUUUCUCUCAUUUGACCCAAUGUGUUCUUUGUAGAAUACCACCCUCCAAUUGAGAGGUAGUCUAGACUUGCUGCCAUGUUUGUUGACAUACUUCAUUAAAUUCCUUUAUGCUAAAGCAGUUCUACAGUAUCUUCUUUUCCCUUGAUCAAAGUCAUGAAUAAAUUAUCUAAUGUACUUUUUCUUUUUACCUUGGCAAUUAAUACAUCUUUGCUGGGGAGUCACUUUGAGACUAGGUGAAUUUGAAUGGUUCUCGUUGUAAUUUACCCCAAGAGCGAGAUUCUUUUGGUGAUUAUUAUAGGAUCUGGUUUUGUUAUUAUAAUUGUAAACUGUAGCGAUUGCAGUUGUGACAUUUUAUGCACACAUAUCAUCAUUCUAUUUUAAACAGGAAUCCUUCUUCCAUGUUUACUUAGACAUUUUCUACUACUGCCAGCAGGGGUUCAUGAUUUUUUUCCUAUGAUUUACUUAUUUUGGUGUUUCUAUUGUUGUAUAUUUCCCCAUGAAAUGUGUGUUUUCUUAAUAAGCAGCCAAUAAAAAUAUUAAAGAAUUGUAGUCAGAGUACAUAAAAUAUUCCAUACUUUGUGUCUGCCCUCUUCUGGUCUUAGAACAAGCCACUUCUCUAAAUAUUCCUUAGAAAAUACAUUUUGCAAUUGUUCUUCUUGCUGUAGUUAUUGUUAUGUUUUGAGCAAACUUGAGGUAUGAAAUUUGGUUGUAUUGUCAUUUUGUUUUCCUCCAUAAUUUGAUGUUUCAAUGAUAUUUGAAAAAGAAAAGUCUGCCUCCUCCCCACCAUUUGGAAAGAAAGCUACAUUUUCAUUUUGUUAUCAAAUCUGUCUUCUUACUGUUUUACAAAUACCUGUGUUGUUGCUAUUGUUAAUUUGUUGUGUGUUGU
rnacentral:lncRNA from 1 species